UCUACGGGGGGCUGCAGUGGGGAAUAUUGGACAAUGGGCGAAAGCCUGAUCCAGCCAUGCCGCGUGUGUGAAGAAGGCCUUCGGGUUGUAAAGCACUUUCAGUGGGGAAGAAAGCCUUGGGGCUAAUACCCUCGAGGAAGGACAUCACCCACAGAAGAAGCACCGGCUAACUCCGUGCCAGCAGCCGCGGUAAUACGGAGGGUGCGAGCGUUAAUCGGAAUUACUGGGCGUAAAGCGCGCGUAGGCGGUCUGAUAAGCCGGUUGUGAAAGCCCCGGGCUCAACCUGGGAACGGCAUCCGGAACUGUCAGGCUAGAGUGCAGGAGAGGAAGGUAGAAUUCCCGGUGUAGCGGUGAAAUGCGUAGAGAUCGGGAGGAAUACCAGUGGCGAAGGCGGCCUUCUGGACUGACACUGACGCUGAGGUGCGAAAGCGUGGGUAGCAAACAGGAUUAGAUACCCCUGUAGUC
rnacentral:rRNA from 1 species